rnacentral:rRNA from 1 species
GACGUAGGGCGCGAGCGUUGUCCGGAUUUAUUGGGCGUAAAGAGCUCGUAGGCGGCUUGUCGCGUCGUCUGUGAAAUCCCACGGCUCAACUGUGGGCUUGCAGUCGAUACGGGCAGGCUGGAGUUCGGAAGAGGAGUGUGGAAUUCCUGGUGUAGCGGUGAAAUGCGCAGAUAUCAGGAGGAACACCAAUGGCGAAGGCAGCACUCUGGGACGUGACUGACGCUGAGACGCGAAAGCGUGGGGAGCAAACAGG